AUAAAGGCUGCGGCAUAUGUUAGUUCUUCCCUUCCCUAGUUGCUCUGCUUAGUUUCAGUUUUUUUUGGGUGAAUUACGUUGCCAUCAUCACCAUGGCCAUGAAAAGUGCUGCUUCCUCUGCCAUUCGCUCUCUGCUUUCCUCGUCCUCUUCCACCUUCUCCAGAAACCUUCAUGCUCCUGCUGAGAGGAAGAAGAUUGUGGGGGUGUUCUACAAAGGGGGUGAGUAUGCUAAGUUGAAU